CCCUACGGGGGGCAGCAGUAGGGAAUCUUCGGCAAUGGACGAAAGUCUGACCAAGCAACGCCGCGUGAGUGAAGAAGGUUUUCGGAUCGUAAAACUCUGUUGGUAGAGAAGAACGUUGGUGAGAGUGGAAAGCUCAUCAAGUGACGGUAACUACCCAGAAAGGGACGGCUAACUACGUGCCAGCAGCCGCGGUAAUACGUAGGGGGCAAGCGUUAUCCGGAAUUACUGGGUUUAAAGGGUGCGCAGGCGGGAGAUCAAGUCAGCGGUAAAAUGUCGGGGCUCAACCCCGGCCGGCCGUUGAAACU
rnacentral:rRNA from 1 species